UAUUUGUAAUUCACCGACUAUCUGGAUCCUUUUUAGUCUUAAGGGGACCCGGGGUGGUCCUUGAAACCACAAGUUUCACGCGUUAAACAUCUUGGAACACCGCCGUCGCUAAUCAUUUCCACGCGUGGACUUUUAAACGCGUGAACUAAUCAACGCGUUGAAGAUCUGGGGAAUCCUAACGUUGGGGGACCUUGUGACGGUUUGCUUUGGCAUUUUUGAGGUGGGGUGUUGACGGUUUGCCAUUUGAUGAUGGAGGAAGAGGAGCUCCAUUGUUGCAACAACAACAGCAGCAGCAAGACCCCCAAACACAAUCAAGUAAAAAAGCUCCAUUGUUGCUGAUCUUCUGCGCGUCCACCGGAGAUACCGUCAGGGUCGGAGCUUCGGCAACAACCUAUUCUCAUCAUUCGGUGCCCAAUAUCAGGAGCUGUUGAAUAUGAUGAGGGACGGUUGCAGAUAGAGGGAAAGAUGGACAGGAAGUAUUAAUUUUGGGAAUAAAUUCAAGAAAAAGAAACAGAUAGAAAAGAGAAGAUGCAUGAGAAGAUUUGAGAAUAGGUAUGCAAACGAUAGAUACACAAAUAUAUUCAAUGAUAGUAUUGAUACAUAAUAUAUUCAUUGAGAGGACUCGGGGCGGGUACGUUAUACCAAAGUUAUCCAUAAUAAUGCAAUGUAUCUUAUCUUUUGAUAGUAUCAGAACAUUGAAAUUUAUCAAUUUGUGAAUUACAUUUAAUAUUAGUGUAUUGUGCAAAUAGGUUCGAAUAACUGUAAGAAAGCAUUUAUUCAAGUGGCAAAGCAAGAAAGGUUUAACUAAAAAACAAAUAAAAAAAGUUCUUUAGUUGAACAGAAACUAGCAAGAUAGAUAUUAGAUAAACCACAGUGGCCUUCAACAGGGUGUACUACAUCCUAAUUAUCUUACACAAAGACGUUUAUAAGUUCACAAACGUACUAAAACAUGACCUCUUUAAGAAAACCACCAUGGAAAACGAAAACAGUUAAUAUGACCACUUUAAGAAAACCAC